ensembl:lncRNA
CAGCAACGGCUCCGCUAUUGGCUCAACUCCCGACCAAUCGCAGCGCGGCGGGAACUUAGGCGGGAAGGUCGCGCAGGAGGUGCUGGUGGAUGCUGAGGGUGAGCGGGGAAAGCGGCGGGGGGUCGGGCUGCGGUGGGCUGUGUUCCGGGCGAGCUGGGGCUGAGGGGACGGGCUGUGGAGAUUCCUGAGGGUGAAAACUGGACACAGGGAAGGCGCCUGUCCCAGACUGCACCGUCUUACGGUCACCACUGCGAUGGCCCCGACGUGACACCUUGUACCGCUCCCACGCUGUGUUGGUUACCUGAGUUAGCGUGCCCUGCCUCCCCAGGAGGAGGAGGCUUUGGGUGGUCAGUGAGCGGGAUGCGUGCUGGCUGCAAAGAAGCUGCUGCUGUUGUGGUGACGCUUGAGUCCAUCGGCUCAGGGCCUUGUUUUGGGUGUGUGCGUGAGAAACAGCACUGUCACAGCCUGCUGAUGCCUCGGGGGGAGACGGACGUACAGAUAAACACUGGGCAGAAAGGGGAGGAUUGAGGAUGGGUGUUUUGGAAAGUGGCCUUCGUGCAAACGACGCUGCCUGCUUAGAGAAUUGGAAAUUCAUUUUGCUGUUUUAUAAAGCAUCCAUUGUAAAAACAUCUGCGUCAAUCACUCCACACACACACACUACCGAGAGCUAUAAUGAUCCCAGCCCAUAGCCUGGAGAUACUGCCUGUCCUCACAAACAACCAAAGUGGGUGGAAGUUUCAAGGGCUGCAGAAGAACAAGAAUUAAAACGAUGCUAUAGAUUUUAAAUCUACAAAGCUUUCUGCAACUAGUUAAACAUGGUAUCAUCCCCUGUGGCUUUACAGAUGGGUUUUCCUGUGUUUCGACACGUAAGGGUGCAGAACUGGAACAAACCACAGAAGAAAGUAAUUAUGGGUCUAAGCCAGAGGCUCUGAGGUUGGUGGCAAUCUUUCCGCUGACCUCGGGUGGCUUUGUGUCCAGCUGUACAUACCAAGGGAAACAGUAAAACAUGUAAUUUCAUAUCAGAGUGCUAUCAUAUGCUCAUAAAAAUAGAAAAAAGAGAAGCAUACUCCUCUGCCCGCUGCAAUCUUUUGGAAUUACAGUAAUCGAAGCCGUAACUUGAAAAGCUUGAAUUCACUGGGGACAGAUGGAUACACUUAUUGAUUUAGGGGCCUCUGUGGAUUUCAGAAUAUGCUCGUAGCCUUCCCUGCUGCUUUGUGAUGCUUUAUACUGUGCUUGGACCAUGCUAGAGCUGUGGCAGUGAGAAAGAGACUCCUCAGCAGCCAAGCCUAAGGCGUAAGCAGAAGCUGUGACUGGGAGCCUGCAAAUGGGAGGACAUCAGCAGUAGAAAGUACUUUGCAGCUGGGUGAGCCGACCAGGGCAGAGAAGUCAAAGGAAAGCCACGGAGCCAGGACAAAGCUUAAUUAAAAAAUUCCAAGACGCUGAUAUCAGAGGACUUCCUCUUGUGACAAGGCAGCUGAUCAGCAGGUGAGGCAAAAUCCCAGUUACUGGAAAAGGCUGUAUCUUCACUGCAUGCUCCUUGCUGACUCAGAGGUAGGACUUGGUAUCACCUGUCUCCGUUGCUGGACGAACAAGCUGGUGGUGCUGUGCUGCUUGCUCACCGGGGCGGUGGCCAAGGCAAAGCUGGGCUCUACACUUCCUUCUGUGUCACACAGUGCAGAGCACUCUUCCCUUCUCCUUAGGCCAUCCCGGGGGCAGGAGUGAUAAAAGGGCAAGUGAUCUGGCUCUGUCCCAGUCCUGGGACACGCUCAAAGCUGAGAAAUAAGAAUGCAUCCUGUACGGCUGGCAGACAACUUUGAAGGCUCUGUGUGCUCAUGAGCUGACAGGGAUCAGACUGCAGGUGACGCAAGAUGGACAAAGGGGCGUUCAGGGGCAUUAGUUACAGUAUGCAAAACAGCUCCUGCGUGUCCUACUGCUGGUGCUGGCCUGGGAAGAGGAAAGCAAAGUGUUAAAGGGCAAAGUCCUCUCUUACUGCGUGAUCUGCUCCAGCCCACAGAAAGUGCUUUUCAUGCGGAGCGUGGCACAAACAGCCCUCUGCCUCUUGGGCCCGCUGUGGGUGAUGGGAGCCAAAUGUUUUGCACAGGCAGCCCCGUUCAGACCACAGUGAUCUCACAAACUCUGCUGUGUGUCUUGUGACAGUGGCUGAGACAGGGAGCCCAGCAGCAGCUCUGGGGAAGAGUGGAAAUCACAUUUCCUGGAAACAAAGGAGAGAGAUAUCUCGCACAUUGCUUGCAUCUACCGUGGGAGGGAAGGCUGAAGAGGUGAAGGCUGGUGCUCAAGACUAGGAAAAGCACCGAAGGCGGAGAGAAGAACGUACUACUUAGUGCAGACAUCUGUCAGAUGGGACAUUUCACCCCCCUGGUGCCACACUUCCCCUCCUGCAGGGGGAGGACAACAACCUGUUGGGAUUCCCACAGGAAAGGGGCUGCGGAAGCGCCUCGUUAUCCUGAUGUAGAACAAUGCAG